CCUACGUGAGGCAGCAGUGAGGAAUAUUGGUCAAUGGGCGUAAGCCUGAACCAGCCAAGUCGCGUGAGGGAUGAAGGUUCUAUGGAUCGUAAACCUCUUUUAUAAGGGAAUAAGGUGUGGGACGUGUCCUGUUUUGUAUGUACCUUAUGAAUAAGGAUCGGCUAACUCCGUGCCAGCAGCCGCGGUACUACGGAGGAUCCGAGCGUUAUCCGGAUUUAUUGGGUUUAACGGGUGCGUAGGCGGCCUUUGAAGUCAGCGGUGAAAGUCCUGGGCUCAACCAUGGAAUUGCCGUUGAAACUGGGAGGCUUGAGUAUGUUUGAGGCAGGGAGAAUGCGUGGUGUAGCGGUGAAAUGCUUAGAUAUCACGCAGAACCCCGGUUGCGAAGGCAGCCUGCCAAGCAAUGACUGACGCUGAGGCACGAAAGCGUGGGGAGCAAACAGGAUUAGAUACCCCAGUAGUC
rnacentral:rRNA from 1 species